rnacentral:piRNA from 1 species
UUCCCUGCAAAAAGUUGUCGAUGCUUGAGGA